rnacentral:rRNA from 1 species
UACGGAAGGCAGCAGUGGGGAAUAUUGCACAAUGGGCGCAAGCCUGAUGCAGCCAUGCCGCGUGUAUGAAGAAGGCCUUCGGGUUGUAAAGUACUUUCAGCGAGGAGGAAGGCGUUGUGGUUAAUAACCGCAACGAUUGACGUUACUCGCAGAAGAAGCACCGGCUAACUCCGUGCCAGCAGCCGCGGUAAUACGGAGGGUGCAAGCGUUAAUCGGAAUUACUGGGCGUAAAGCGCACGCAGGCGGUCUGUCAAGUCGGAUGUGAAAUCCCCGGGCUCAACCUGGGAACUGCAUCCGAACUGGCAGGCUAGAGUCUUGUAGAGGGGGUUAGAAUUCCAGGUGUAGCGGUGAAAUGCGUAGAGAUCUGGAGGAAUACCGGUGGCGAAGGCGGGCCCCUGGACAAAGCUGACGCUCAGGUGCGAAAGCGUGGGGAGCAAACAGGAUUAGG